AUUAUCACUAAGAUGCCUUACAGCAGAAUCAUUUGCAGAUGCAUUAUCAAGAGUCACGGUCGAUAUUUUAUUUUCAAUUCCCUACUCAGUUAUACAAUGCAAAAUAGAAUCAAAAAUCAUAAGACCAAUGUGUGGAGGUGCCAUAGUACAAAAAUUGAUAACCCUUUUAUACAAGUUCCAAUCCGAAUCCAAAAAAUGAGCAGUGAGACACAUAUAACCAAUAGUUUGAUUAGAAGUCCAUAAAUCAGAAGUUAAACUUAUCCUACUAAUACCAUCAAACAGAGCCUUAAUUUUUUUCUUCUCUAAAGCAUAAAGCUUCAUGCAAUCAGUCAUUACUGUCACCCUAGAAAUGGGAUCAAAUCUUGGAUUCAAAGUUUUCAAAAAUAGCAUGAAAAAUUCAUACUCAAUCAUACGAAAAGGAUAUUCAUGCACACAUAUCAUCUUAGCAAAAAGCUCCCUUACUUUUUCUUUAUCAUACUUGAAGAAAUUCAAGUUACCAGUUUUACCUUCAACUUCUAAAGUAGGAUACUAGGAUAAGAUAAUACCUGCUGCUUGGGUUUUCCGGAGCCAGAAAUUGAAGCUAGCCGAAUAGAACAAGAGUUCAUGUGCCUAUUCAAAUGACUAGUAGAACCUGUAUUCUUAGUUCCAUCUUUUAAUGUCACAACAGUAUACUCGUCCCAAGCUUUUGAAGUCUUUUUUUUUUCUUUUUUUCCCAUGCUCAGCUUCAACCUCAGUAGCAUUUUCUGGCAGAGAAUCACCAAUAAGUUGAGGUUGAUUUUCAGUUUGAAUAUUCGGCACUUGAGAUGGUCCAGAUGGGUAAAAAAUCAAACUUAUGAUCUCAUUGUUACCUCAAACAAAUAAAUAAAAAAAUAUCAGAAUUAGAUACAAAGGAUAUAACAUAUGCAUGCACAAUAAAAUUAUCUUAACGAGUAUUACAUUCAAGUAAAUACAUUCUGAAAGUAUGAGCCAAUAAAUUGUUUAUUUGACUUUAAAAAGUCAAAAUUAAAUAUUUAAUUUAAGACAAAAGAGCAUAAUUUAUUCGAAAUUAAAAAUACCCAUUAAUAACAGCACACAGCAAAUAGAAUGAAAGGAAGAGAGAUGUGAAAAAAUGGAAGGAAAGGCUCAGAUCUGUAAUAUAUCAGGCAAGAUGGUGACACCGCCAUGACUGCAACCACCAGUUGCAUGAGAGAGGAAUAAUAACCCAAUCAAAUCUCUCACAUACCCUCCGGGUCGCCCCGCCAAGAUACGGGUCACAUUAUCUCACUGCCCGAUUUAACCCAGAAAAAUUGAUUCAUCAUCAUCAUAGCCUCUUCCAUAUUUGCCAUCUCUAAGUCAUUGUAAAAUAAGUCAUUGCCGAACAGACCCUAAGAAUAAGCUAUAAGCUGUUUUGAAUAAGCUGAAACAAACAAACAUGGCCAUAAACACAAACAAGGGCUGUUGAAUUGUGUAGCUGGAAAAUGAAAUCAUUGGCUCUUUUUAACAGAGAGGGGCAACCACCCUUUGAAACAUCCCUUCCCUCUGGAGCCUCAUUCUAUUUUCUGAGUUUUCUAAGCCCUAAUUUUAGGCUCAAACACUGCUUUUAUAGUGCCUGAGUUUUGCUUUUCUUCCCUUUUUUGACCUCAAUAAAGAGAUAUGGGGAAAAGAUGUCCUCUACAAAGGAAAAGCUUAUUGCAGCCUCAUCCCUCCCAGGCCUCAAGAUUCCAGAGCUUCCCUUCCCUUUCUAGAGAUUCCACAGCCUCUUUCCUUUUUAGAUUUUGUAAAUGACUAUUAAUAUGGUGAUCCUGAAAUUUACAUAAAUGUUUUGAAUAGGAAUGACUAUUUACAUAAAUGACUAUUAGUAGGAAUGUCCAAAUUUUAAAAAAUAAUUAAAAUAAAUAAUAUUUUUAUAAUCCUAUAUUAUUCUUGAUUUUUAAUAUAAUAAAUUUUUUUUUAUUAAAAACUCAAAAAUAACAAAACUUAAGUUUUCUAAUAUUUUGUUUUGGUUCUAAUUUAAGUUUUUUAUUUUAUUUUUUCUGAACAGAGUAUAACAGAGUGUAAGAGAUGAUCAAAGUUAAUCUCCCAAUGGCCAUUUCUCGAAAUCCGUGAUUUCUCUCUCAUCUUCAAC
rnacentral:lncRNA from 1 species